GUCAAGUGCCUGCAAAUUUAGGCCCUUUACUUUCAACAUUUAGUGCCUUCUACCCUGUAUGCUCAUCUCACACAACUGGCCACGUGGGCAACUCGUAUGUGUAGAGGGGUAGGGGUAGAGGUAGAGGUAGAGAUAGAAUUUUUUUUUUUCCUUGCCAGGGGUUGUUUCCACAGCCUUGAGGUGGAGCGCAGUUCUCCAUACCACGAUGAAGUUAGUGUAUAUGUGAUGAACGGCAAAGACCAGAGCACUUCUCUUUCACCCUUCUGCUGACAGAUGCAGCCGACAGGAAGUUUCCUGGUCUGGGAAGGACUCGGUCCCUGAGAGGUCCCAUCUCUGACCAUUUUCGCCAGCCUGGAAGGGGGGCUGGUGCUGGAGUCUUUGCGGAGUAAAGCCCCUGUCUUCUCAUGGGCGGGGCCUGGGGGAAGGGGUGACAUCCUGGACUAGCUGAUGUCCAUGCCCAUGGCCAAGAGUGGCGAGCUGCAAGCUUGCCAGCUCAGCGAACCCUUGGAAGGCACCCCAGGGGCACCCAAGUGCACCCUAUCUGUAAAAUGCAGAAAGGCAAACUACACGAGGAGUGGAGCCAAAUGGGGAAGGAAGCGGAGUCUGAGCGGUCCCAUAGGUCCUGGUGAAUAGUUAACUUCUUAGGAAGCACCCAUCCAUCAUCUGGCAAGUCUGCACAUUCGGACGUAUCUCAAGUUGGUCUGGAGGGAAGAUGGUGUGCCUAAACCACAGGCAGCCCGAGUCCAGCUGUCCAGCCAGGAGCAAGUCAGACCCAGGGCUAAGAGGAUGAACAGCGAAGAGCUCCCCUGCUGAAGGACUCCGUGUCUACACAAGCUGCUUCUGACAAGACACAGUCUUCCCUCCUCACCUCACGUAUUGGAGGUUGUGUUAUAAGGCUGUGCUUUUAAGGACUGUGGAGCUUUCUUCACCAUCUUUUAACAUCCUUGUGUGGCCUGGAGUUUGCCUGUAUUUUAUUCUAUAAAAACAAGCAAAACCAAUGUUAGUAACAAAUCUUUAAAAAGAUGUCCACAAGGUGCGCCUGGGUGGCUCAGUGGGUUAAGCCGCUGCCUUCAGCUCAGGUCAUGAUCUCAGGGUCCUGGGAUCGAGUCCCACAUCGGGCUCGAUGGAGCACGGAGCCUGCUUCCUCCUCUCUCUCUCUGCCUACUUGUGAUCUCUCUCUGUCAAAUAAAUAAAUAAAAUCUUAAAAAAAAAAAAAAAAAGAUGUCCACAAGUCUUGGGUCGCCUGGGUGGCUCAGUCGUUAAGCAUCUGCCCUUGGCUCCAGUCAUGAUCCCAGGGUCCUGGGAUCAGGCCCGCAUCGGGCUCCCUGCACAGCAGAAAGCCUGCUUCUUCCUCUCGCGCUCCCCUUGCUUGUGUUCCCUCUUUCACUGUCUCUCUCUUUCUGUGCCAAAUAAAUAAAUAAAAUCUUAAAAAAAAAAAAAA